CCAGGUUUUGGCUGCUCAAUUACCCUACAUUCAGGCAAUCAAAAUUUGGGCACUUGACAGCCCACCUUCAUUAACAAUUGCAACUCCCCACACUGGCUUAUCUUCUCCCCACCUCUGUCUUUUGGCCACCCAAAGGCAUUGUGAGAUCUACUUGAUGCUUCGCAAACCCUCCCCAGAGCCUGGAGAACUCUUUGUGGCAUUGCAGAGGUCUUCAACAGAUGUGGAGCAAUCCAAGCAACGAUUCUCAGAAGCAAGGUUUUCUCGAUAAAGGAACAAGAAGCAGUUUAUGUAUCUCCCUAGACGUUUGCUAUCAGGAGAGCAGCAUGAGAUGGAAAGUCUGCAAGUUAUUCCAUCUCUCCAUCACAGACAAUAGAAACAUGGCUUAAAUACCACCUCUAUCUCUUUCCUGUUCCAUCACCACCUCCAAAUUUUCAAUUAUCUUGCCUAAUGAAGAAUUCUUGAAAGAUUGCAUGCUAAUAAAAAUACUGUUUU